rnacentral:rRNA from 1 species
UACGUAGGGCGCAAGCGUUGUCCGGAAUUAUUGGGCGUAAAGAGCUCGUAGGCGGUUUGUCGCGUCUGCUGUGAAAUCCCGAGGCUCAACCUCGGGCUUGCAGUGGGUACGGGCAGACUAGAGUGCGGUAGGGGAGACUGGAAUUCCUGGUGUAGCGGUGAAAUGCGCAGAUAUCAGGAAGAACACCCGUGGCUAAGGCGGCUCUCUAGUACGGUACUGACGCUGAGACGCGAAAGCCGUGGGGAGCGAACAGG